AAACAUCGAAACCUCAAAGAAAGUAUUUAUUUGUCUCAAGAUCAAUAAUUAAUAAAAUAAUUUAAAACAUCUCAAAGAAAAAUAUAACAUGUAACAAAACAGUUUAUCCCCAGUGUUAUUUAUCAGAGCGAUGCCAAAACUAAUAGACUAAAAAAAUAAUAAAAUAAAUGAAGAGGCUUCAACACCAUCCUCCAUCUCAACAUUAGCUAAUGCCCCUCUAUUUAAGUAUCUGUACGGCGAGAGUACACAACACCAUAAAUAAAAUAACCAAGGGUGAGAAUACAUUCAAAAAUAUUAGCUGUGUAUAAAGAAAUAAAGGAUAUCACACUCAAACAUCAACAUAUUAAUAUCAUUCAUAACCAACUCGCUGGUGAUGCCUAUCAUUGCUGUACAAAUUGCAGAAUCCGUGAUUUCCACCAUUUGAGCACUUCCAAAGCCUCGAUAUCAACCCCCAUCCACCCAAAUCGAACAAAGAAACAUCAUACAUAAUAUAUUAAACACAAAACACACCAAAUAAACAUCUGUUACACAUCAACAUUAUUUUAUCAUGAAAUUUACCAUUAUGUUAAUCACCACCAAAAUACAUCAACAAGAACAACAUCAAUCUUAAUUUCACAUAUAAUUUGCAUACAAAUUAAACACAUAAUCACAACAUAAAACAUAAUCAAAACAAAAUAGUUUAGAGAGGUAUGCACAACCAUCCCAAGGAUUCAAAACCUCAACAAUAAAGAAUAGAGAAACAACUAGAAAGAUGGUUAGGAUCCCUCUCUAUCCUUUAUAAAAAACACACCCAUAAAUGAAUAAUCCCCCCCCCCCCCCCUUACCUGNNNNNAAACCCCCCCCCCCCCCCCUUACCUGAAUCUUUCUAGCCAAAACCUUAAUCUUUCAGCAAUGGUAGUUCUUCCCUCUAGGAUUUCUCUUUCCUCUCCACUCCUAAUUCCCAUCGCUUGUUCACGUACAACACAAAAAC
rnacentral:lncRNA from 1 species